rnacentral:rRNA from 1 species
GACGAACGCUGGCGGCGUGCUUAACACAUGCAAGUCGAACGGAAAGGCCCUGCUUUUGUGGGGUGCUCGAGUGGCGAACGGGUGAGUAACACGUGAGUAACCUGCCCUUGACUUUGGGAUAACUUCAGGAAACUGGGGCUAAUACCGGAUAGGAGCUCCUGCUGCAUGGUGGGGGUUGGAAAGUUUCGGCGGUUGGGGAUGGACUCGCGGCUUAUCAGCUUGUUGGUGGGGUAGUGGCUUACCAAGGCUUUGACGGGUGGCCGGCCUGAGAGGGUGACCGGCCACAUUGGGACUGAGAUACGGCCCAGACUCCAGCGGGAGGCAGCAGUGGGGAAUAUUGCACAAUGGGCGGAAGCGUGAUGCAGCAACGCCGCGUGCGGGAUGACGGCCUUCGGGUUGUAAACCGCUUUCGCCUGUGACGAAGCGUGAGUGACGGUAAUGGGUAAAGAAGCACCGGCUAACUACGUG